rnacentral:rRNA from 1 species
AGAGUUUGAUCAUGGCUCAGAACGAACGCUGGCGGCGUGCCUAACACAUGCAAGUCGAGCGAGAAAGCCCGCAAGGGUGAGUAAAGCGGCGCACGGGUGCGUAACACGUGGGUAAUCUGCCCUGAAGUCCGGAAUAACCCGCCGAAAGGCGUGCUAAUGCCGGAUAAGACCACGGGAGCCUCGGCUCCUGCGGGAAAAGGUGGCCUCUGUACACAAGCUAUCACUUCAGGAUGAGCCCGCGGCCCAUCAGCUCGUUGGCGGGGUAAUGGCCCACCAAGGCUACGACGGGUAGCUGGUCUGAGAGGACGAUCAGCCACACUGGAACUGAGACACGGUCCAGACUCCUACGGGAGGCAGCAGUGGGGAAUCUUGCGCAAUGGGCGAAAGCCUGACGCAGCAACGCCGCGUGUGUGAUGAAGGUCUUCGGAUCGUAAAGCACUGUCGCGAGGGACGAAUAAGGGGCGGGCUAACAUCCCGUUCCGAUGACGGUACCUCGAGAGGAAGCACCGGCUAACUCUGUGCCAGCCGCCGCGGUAAUUC